CCUACGGGAGGCAGCAGUGGGGAAUUUUGGACAAAGGGCGCGAGCCUGAUCCAGCAAUGCCGCGUGAGUGAAGAAGGCCUUCGGGUUGUAAAGCUCUUUUUUCAGGGAAGAAACGGUAGAGGCUAAUAUCCUUUUAAAAUGACGGUCCCUGAAGAAUAAGUACCGUAUAACUACGUCCCAGCAGGCGCGGUAAUAGGUAGGGCGCAAGCGUUCAUGGGUAUUUCUGGGCGUAAAGUGUGCACAGGCGGUUUUGUAAGUGCGACGUGAAAUCCCCGGGCUCACCCUGGGAAUUGGGUUGGAGAUUGCAUGUCUAGUAUGGGGCAGACGGAGGUAGAAUUCCACGUAAAGCAGUGAAAUGUGUAGAGAGGUGGAGGAACAGGGAUGGAGAAGGCAGCCCCGGGGGUCAAGAUUCACGCUCAUGCACGAAAGCGUGGGGAGCAAACAGGAUUAGAUACCCGGAGAGUCCACCCCCUAAACGACGUCUAGGAGUUGUCGGGUUUUAAUUCACUUGGUAACGCAGCUAACGCGUUAAGUAGACCGCUUGGGGAGACCGUAAAAUUG
rnacentral:rRNA from 1 species